CACGUAGGGGGCGAGCGUUGUCCGGAUUUAUUGGGCGUAAAGAGCUCGUAGGCGGCUCGGUAAGUGAGGUGUGAAAACUCCAGGCUCAACCUGGAGACGCCACCUCAUACUGCUGUGACUUGAGUUCGGUAGGGGAGUGGGGAAUUCCUAGUGUAGCGGUGGAAUGCGCAGAUAUUAGGAGGAACACCGGUGGCGAAGGCGCCACUCUGGGCCGAAACUGACGCUGAGGAGCGAAAGCGUGGGUAGCAAACAGG
rnacentral:rRNA from 1 species